rnacentral:rRNA from 1 species
UACGGAGGAUGCGAGCGUUAUCCGGAUUUAUUGGGUUUAAAGGGUGCGCAGGCGGAUUUUUAAGUCAGCGGUCAAAUCGUGGGGCUCAACCCCGGCGAGCCGUUGAAACUGGCGGGCUGGAGUUGGAGAGAAGUACGCGGAAUGCGCGGUGUAGCGGUGAAAUGCAUAGAUAUCACGCAGAACCCCGAUUGCGAAGGCAGCAUACCGGCGCCCGACUGACGCUGAGGCACGAAAGUGCGGGUAUCGAACAGG